GGGUCAGGCGGCGACCCGGAAGUAUAAAGGCUGGCCGGCAGAGCUCAGCAGGGGGCCAGCCGCCGCAGGGAGUGCCGCAGGGAGCUCGAGACUGGGAAACCUCAGAGACCCAGUUCAGCUGCCCAGACUGGCCGGAGCUUCCCCUGCCCAUUACCCAGGGGAGCCCCCGGAGCUUCCCCACCCCUGCUGCUACCCGGAGGAGCCGCCGAAGCACGCCUGGCCAGACUUCCCUGAGUUACUGCCAGACCUGCCACCAAGCCCUGGCCGCGAGGAGCCCAUGCUGGUGGACUGGCCGGGGACCGACGCCACGGACAAGAACAUGAUGGUGCUGAGAGACCUGAAUCAGGGUGGGGGUCUGCAGCCCAUCCGGAAUGUGCCGAGACCCUUGUUUCCUCUGGCUGAUCGGUGACGGUGCUGACACCACAAUCACAGUCCUGACCCACUGCAGCUAUGACAGCAACUCCAAAGACAAAAGGGACAAGACCACAGACACACCAAAGAAAUGGUAGGAAAAGAGAAGGGAAGAAAAAGCCCUGGAGAAAGGAUGGAGACACACUGCAUGCAUGCCCCCGC